rnacentral:lncRNA from 1 species
CUCAUAGCAGACAUGGUAUGGGGAUGACCCGUUUCAUCCUCAUACUGGAUGGAGUAUUGAGGAAUGAUAUUCUUGGCACUUAUAUCGGACGGAGUAUGGGGAUGGCCCGUUAGUUGACAAUGUUCACGCGUAGUGGGACAUCUCUAUAAACCCUCAUGGAUACCAGUAGGCAAAUAAAAAUGAAAGUUUGUUAUUCUUACUUACUUGAAAAUGAGAUUGGAAUGCUAUUUGAAUUAUUAUCUCUAUACAUCGAUUUUGGAAAUUUCACAACGGUAAGUAUGCAAUAAAUGGUUUUACUUAUGAUAAAUGAAUUUACUU